AACCUUUCAGCUAGCUUCAUCUAUAAAUU
rnacentral:rRNA from 1 species